AUAAUGGAGAGUUUGAUCCUGGCUCAGGACGAACGCUGGCGGCGUGCCUAAUACAUGCAAGUCGAGCGGAAGUUGAAGAGCUUGCUCUUCAACUUUAGCGGCGGACGGGUGAGUAACACGUGGGCAACCUGCCCUGCAGAUCGGGAUAACUCCGGGAAACCGGUGCUAAUACCGAAUAGUUUUGGGUCCCUCCUG
rnacentral:ncRNA from 1 species